UUUAGGCCCGGUUUUACAAAUGUCCGGUUCAACACGAGUUCAACUGAACUUGAGUUCAACUGAACUGAGGUUCAAUUCAUGCGUCCGUUUUACAAACACCGCUAUCGUCCGGUUCAGCUGAACCACAAAUUUCCUUAGGUUGGUAGCGCGCACCCGAGAAUCUGACAGUUGAGACCACGUUGGGAGCACGUUGGAAGUGUGUUGUUGUUGUCAUCUAUGUCAUCAUGUCACAUUAUUAUAAAUUAUUUGUGACAAAUUCUGCAAAGUAAUUAGUUUUUUGCGUUACUGGGGUACGUAUAUGUGUAUAUGUAACAUUUGCUCGUUAAUAGUAGAUGAUUAUGAUGGUUUUUAACAUUUCGUUUCAGAUGAGUAAUACACGUGCUCCGAAUUUUACAAAAUCCGAAGAAAACUUGCUCCUAUCUUUAGUAAGCAAGUAUAGAAAUAUUCUGGAGUGUAAAUUGUCCAACACUGAUGCAAAUCAAAAAAAAAAAAAUCAGUGUUGGAAGAAAAUUGAAGUAGAGUUCAAUUCUUUAUCUGGCCAGACCUUCCGGGAUCACAAAGUUUUGAACAAAAAGUACGACAACAUUAAGAAGAGGACAACGAAAAAAUUUGCUGACGAGAAAGCCUAUGUCGGUGGUACUGGGAGAGGGUCACAACAAAGUAUUGAGGCCACCGAUGUUGAUGUGGCUGUAAAAGAAAUUCUCGGGGCCAAACCAAUGGGGCAUAGCAGCGAAUUUGAUGGCGAUUCCGAAACAACCUCAUUCCAAAGUAACAGCGGUAUAAUCUGUCUGAUGACGAAAAUGAUGAUUGUUUUAUGCCAAAAGAUCAAACCGGAGCAAUUUCGAGAGAAGUGCCUGUUAUGGAUAAAAUAAGUGGUCCCAAUAAAGAAAGUGGUAAACAUUAAUAAUAAUCAAAUAUGGUUAUUUUUGUAGAAAAUGGUCAAACUGGGAAUUGGGCUAAAUACUCCCCCAAAAUCUUGAAGCAAAACAAAUUUUCAGCACUCACGCCAUAUCGUAGAGGUAAAGGAAACCAGACAAGUGAUAAUUUAGAGCAAUGUGCCGCUGCCAAAGAACUUGUCGAACUAAGUCGAAAGGAAUACAUCCAAAAGGAGCAAGAGUUUAAAUUAAAAGCCAUGAAAGAGAAACAUGAACUAGAAAUGCAAAUUAUGAGAGACAAAGCUGCACUUGAAUUAGAAGUAAUAAAGCAGAACACCAAAUGAAGAUUGAAAUAUUAAUUGCCCAAAAAUUUAAUAUUUUAAAUAAUAAAACUUAAAUAAAUAAUUACAUUACA